CCCAUCAGUCUCUCUCUCUCUCUCUCUCUCUCUCUCUCUCUCUCUCUCUCUCCCUCUAGAAAGAGAGAAUGAACAAAGCAAAGCCCUCGGAUCAUCGCAGUGCUCAUCUAUUUUUCUCCGGCGACGUUUUGAAACUUCUGUGAGCAGCUUAAUUUCCGGUUGCUUCAUCUAUGGGGAAUGCGUGUUGUGUUGCUGCUGCUCGUGACAAAAUGGUCCUCGUCGUGCCUAAUUCACCAGCUGCCGAGACUGAGAGGAGAAGUCAUUCUCCUACUUGGAGUUUCCGCUGGGAUAAUAAUAAUAAUAAUAAUAAUAGAGGAGGAGGACGUGUUGCUGUUGAAGAUUCCUCCCUUAGUUGGUUAUCUGAUGGGAUUACUCAUAACGAUGCCUCUGACUUCAAAUUUGAAUCUCCUUUUCUAUCAUCUCAUGGCUCCCCUAGCUUUCAGACACAGACACUGCACAAAUCUUCCCCCUCAGAUCUAUCUUUUUCAAGAUAUUCUUCCAUGAACACAGUCAUCGAGCAGAAAGAAAAUGAUUCACCUCCUCCACAAUUGUCUCUUUCACUAGCUUCCCCAGCGCUACCACUUCCGUCCCAGAGCUACUUGCACCCUGCAAGUUCACCCACACUUCAGCUCACACAUCGCCCUCGUCUAUCAAAGCAAGUCUCAGAUAGUCACAGAUUCUAUGCAAUGAACUCACUAAGCAGUAGCUCACCAACUGAAGACAGGCUGGCAACUCCUUUGAGAUACGAUUCUUCUCAGAGUCGACCACCAUCUGAAGGUUGGUCACGGCAAGCCUUUUCUGGAAUGAUGCCAUCUUCUCGCUGCAACCAGCCUUUGUCUUUGAUAAUCACUGCUUCGGCCUUGAACCUGACAAGAUUGACGACCAUCAUGGCAAACGAAUGUCCAAUCAUCAGCAGCAAACCUGUGGUGCAUGCUCUAGACCCCUGUCAGAGAAAUCCUUGUGGAGCAGCCAAAAGAUCUUUAUGACAAAUGAGCUCUCUGUGUCUGCAAUUCUAGCUUGUGGGCAUCUCUAUCAUGGUGAGUGUUUAGAGCAGAUGACGCCAGAAGCCGAUAAGUUCGACCCAUCAUGCCCAGUCUGUACAUUGGGUGAGAAGAAAACUGCGAAGCUGUCAGAGAAAGCAUUGAAAGUGGAGAUGAAUUUGAAAGCUAAAAGACUCAGAAACCGAAUUUUGGACAGUGAUUUUGAAUGCUAUGAUUUUGCACCGUUAGAUCACAGCCACAUGGCAGCAGCAGCUGAGAGCCCUGAACUGGUAUCGAGUUCGAGCGGCAAGAGCUAUUCCGCAAAGCCUUUCUUGGCUCGACAUUUCUCCUUUGGGUCCAGAGGUCACAGUAAAUCCGCAAAAGAGAAUCUUCCUGUAAAACAGAAAGGCUUCUUCUGGACCAAAUCCAGCAAAAUAUGAACUUAUUUUGCGUUGCUCUGUGAACCAUAGAACUCAACAUACACACGGACACGGUACCAUUCAUUUAAGACAGGCUAUUUGUAGUUGCACAUUGUCCCCAUUUGCUUCUUCUUUUUUAUUGGUUACUAAAUUUUCACAUGUAAAGUUACAAAUUUAUUUAGAAUACAAGUUUGGGUGUGAAAAACAACAUUGGGAUCACUAGUCUAUAAAUUAUUCUGGUUGUGCAUAGAUCAGAGUUAGGACUCUGAAAGCAAGCGGUUGGGCAUGCUUUGUAUAAACAUUGACUUGUUUCUACCUAUUUGACCACCUCAGUCAAAUUUCUUUAUAUAAACAUUGACUUGUUUCUA